rnacentral:rRNA from 2 species
GGACUACUGGGGUAUCUAAUCCCGUUUGCUCCCCUGGCUUUCGCGCCUCAGCGUCAGAAGGGGUCCAGCACGCCGCUUUCGCCACCGGCGUUCCUUCGGAUAUCUACGCAUUUCACCGCUCCACCCGAAGUUCCGCAUGCCCCUACCCCCCUCGAGGCUCCCAGUAUCGGAGGCGAUUUUCCGGUUGGGCCGAAAGAUUUCACCACCGACUUGAGAACCCGCCUACGCGCCCUUUAAGCCCAGUGAAUCCGAACAACGUUCGCACGGUUCGUCUUACCGCGGCUGCUGGCAC